GAUCAUCAAACUCUUUUGACCAACGCUUGAUAAAAGCAAGUACUCCUCUGGCUUUAUUAACUGUUACAGAAAUAUGUUCGUUAAACGACAGCUUGUGAUCGAAAGGAACUAAAGAUCAUUCUUAAGGAAACCCGAUCUAAAACGAAAUUCCCAAUUUAGUGAGAGGAGAUUGUUAGAGCACCACAAGAAGACUUCAUCAAUGUCAAAUUACAGAUGUCUAUGAAGGACACUUCCUUCAGAGAAAAAAAAAACAGAGCUAGCCAUCAUCAGCAUACAUAAGUGUGUAGUAGCAUAGCUUGCGACACUAGGUAAGUCGAUAACAAAAAGGAUAAACAGAAAAGGUCCUAAGUGGCUGCGUUGCGGAACACCAGCUGUAACGUUUAUAACUUGUGAUGUGAUGUUCUUGAACAAAACACGCUGCGUACGAUUUGAAAGAUGUGAAGUCCUCCACUGUAUGAUAUUUGGAGAAAAACCCAUAAGAUACAGUUUCUAGAGAAGGAGACGAUGAUUUACAGAAUCGAAAGCUUUGCUAAUAUCAGUGUAAACAACAUCGGUUAGCAUUCUCUUUAGAUAACUCUUUUGGACGAUCGAAGGGAAUUCAAGCAGAUUGGUUGUAGUUGAACGAAGCUUGAGAAAAUUAGGGGGUCUAAUGCCUCCCAGACUUCGACUGGACAAACAGCCUUUUCACAGCAUUAACAAUAAUAUGAAUAAUCUCUAAUAAAAUUUGGGUAAAUAAAGUUAAUUGACCUUAGAAUGGGAUAUAAAGUUUAAUAUUCGCCAAAUAACAUCUUGCAUCGCAGUACCGAAAAAAUACCGAUUGAAAUGUUGUUUGGGGUAGAACCGAAACAAGUGAUAAUUUCAAAGACAAGUUCGAGAAAUGUAAUAGCACGAAAGACAAGCUUACUUAGGGUAGAGU